CCACCAUCCAAGACUGCCGACCUUCCGUCACCGAUAGCAGAGAGUACCGUGAGGGAACGGUGAAAAGCCCCCCGGAAGGGGAGUGAAAGAGACCCUGAAACCGUGUGCUGACAACCCGUCAGAGCCCCCAUUGCGGGGUGAUGGCGUGCCUAUUGAAGAAUGAACCGGCGAGUGACCGGUCCGCGCAAGGUUAACCGCCGCGAGGCGGGCAGCCGGAGCGUAAGCGAGUCCGAAGAGGGCGCGAGUGCGGAUCGAUCGACCCGAAACCGCGUGAUCUAGCCGGCGCCAGGCUGAAGUCCCCUUAAGCCGGGAUGGAGGGCCGCACCCGUGUCCGUUGAAAAGGGCUGGGAGGAGCGGCGGCUAGGGGUGAAAUGCCAAUCGAACGCGGAGAUAGCUGGUUCUCCCCGAAAUCGCUUGAGGGCGAGCCUCUCAGAUCCACCCCGACCGGGGUAGCGCUCUGUGAAUGGAAGGGGUCCCGCCGGGAUUACUGCCUGUUCGCAAACGACAAAGUCGGUCGGGGCGCUCGAGGGAGUCAGACGCCGGGGGAUAAGCUCCGGGGUCAAAAGGGCAACAGCCCAGAUCGUCCGUUAAGGUCCCUAAAUGCACGCUGAGUGGAGAAGGUCGUCGCAGGGCCCAGACAGCCAGGAGGUUGGCUUAGAAGCAGCCAUCCUUGAAAGAGUGCGUAAUAGCUCACUGGUCGCAGUCCCGCGGCGCCGACAAUGUUCGGGGCUAAGCGUGCUACCGAAACGGCGACUGGCCCGCCAAGCGGCGGGCCGGGGUAGGGGAGCGUCCGGUGGCGGGUGAAGCCGGCGUGGAAACGCCGGUGGACGCCACUGGAGUGCGAAUGCCGGUAUGAGUAGCGAAAAGGGAUGUGCGAAUCAUCCCCGCCGAAAGCCGCAGGGUUCCGGAGCCAGGAUCGUCCGCUCCGGGUUAGUCGGGCCUAAGGCGAGGCCGUUGAGGCGUAGUCGAUGGAGACACGGUCGAGAUUCCGUG
rnacentral:rRNA from 1 species